rnacentral:rRNA from 1 species
GAUGAACGCUAGCGGCAGGCUUAACACAUGCAAGUCGAGGGGCAGCAGCACUUUCGGGUGGCUGGCGACCGGCGCACGGGUGCGUAACGCGUGAGUAACAUACCUAUAUCAUUGGGAUAAUCCGGGGAAACCUGGUCUAAUACCGAAUAGUUUUGGGGGGUGGCAUCAUUCCACAAAUAAAAUUACGAUGGAUAUAGAUUGGCUCGCGUAACAUUAGCUAGAUGGUAGAGUAAUGGUUUACCAUGGCGACGAUGUUUAGGGGUUCUGAGAGGAAGGUCCCCCACACUGGAACUGAGACACGGUCCAGACUCCUACGGGAGGCAGCAGUGAGGAAUAUUGGUCAAUGGUCGGAAGACUGAACCAGCCAUGCCGCGUGCAGGAAGACGAUUCUAUGGAUUGUAAACUGCUUUUGUACGGGAGCAAUAAGUGUCACGAGUGACAUGAUGAGAGUACCGUACGAAUAAGCAUCGGCUAACUCCGUGCCAGCAGCCGCGGUAAUACGGAGGAUGCGAGCGUUAUCCGGAUUUAUUGGGUUUAAAGGGUGCGUAGGUGGGCUGAUCAGUCAGUGGUGAAAUCCCGGUGCUCAACACCGGAACUGCCGUUGAAACUGUCAGUCUUGAGUAUGAACGGGGUAGGCGGAAUUCGUAGUGUAGCGGUGAAAUGCAUAGAUAUUACGAAGAACACCGAUAGCGUAGGCAGCUUACCAGGAUUAGAUACCCUGGUAGUCCACACAGUAAACGAUGAAUACUAGGUGUUUGCGAUAUACCGUAAGCGCCCGAGCGAAAGCGUUAAGUAUUCCACCUGGGGAGUACGCCGGCAACGGUGAAACUCAAAGGAAUUGACGGGGGCCCGCACAAGCGGAGGAACAUGUGGUUUAAUUCGAUGAUACGCGAGGAACCUUACCCGGGCUCGAACGGCAAAUGAAUGAUCUGGAAACAGACAGUCCUUCGGGACAUUUGUCGAGGUGCUGCAUGGUUGUCGUCAGCUCGUGCCGUGAGGUGUCGGCUUAAGUGCCAUAACGAGCGCAACCCCUAUCGUUAGUUACCAUCAGGUUAUGCUGGGGACUCUAGCGAGACUGCCACCGUAAGGUGUGAGGAAGGUGGGGAUGACGUCAAAUCAGCACGGCCCUUACGUCCGGGGCGACACACGUGUUACAAUGGGGGGGACAGCAGGCAGCGACUUGGCGACAAGGAGCGAAUCCUAUAAACCCUCUCCCAGUUCGGAUCGAAGUCUGCAACCCGACUUCGUGAAGCUGGAUUCGCUAGUAAUCGCGCAUCAGCCAUGGCGCGGUGAAUACGUUCCCGGGCCUUGUACACACCGCCCGUCAAGCCAUGGAAGCCGGGGGGACCUGAAGUCCGUAACCGUUAAGGAGCGGCCUAGGGUAAAACCGGUAACUGGGGCU